rnacentral:rRNA from 1 species
GGAUUAGAUACCCUGGUAGUCCACGCAGUAAACGUUGUUCACUAGGUGUAGCGGGUAUUGACCCCUGCUGUGCCGCAGUUAACGCAUUAAGUGAACCGCCUGGGGAGUACGAUCGCAAGAUUAAAACUCAAAGAAAUUGACGGGGGCCCGCACAAGCGGUGGAGCAUGUGGUUUAAUUCGACGCAACGCGAAGAACCUUACCUGGAUUUGACAUCCUGAGAAUUCUUUUGAAAAUAAGAAGUGCCCUUCGGGGAACUCAGUGACAGGUGCUGCAUGGCUGUCGUCAGCUCGUGCCG